UACGUAGGUGGCAAGCGUUAUCCGGAAUUAUUGGGCGUAAAGCGCUCGCAGGCGGUUUCUUAAGUCUGAUGUGAAAGCCCACGGCUCAACCGUGGAGGGUCAUUGGAAACUGGGAAGCUUGAGUGCAGAAGAGGAGAGUGGAAUUCCACGUGUAGCGGUGAAAUGCGUAGAGAUGUGGAGGAACACCAGUGGCGAAGGCGACUCUCUGGUCUGUAACUGACGCUGAGGAGCGAAAGCGUGGGGAGCAAACAGG
rnacentral:rRNA from 1 species